GUUUUCUAAACAGUAAGUGCGCCUACUGAAAUUGGAACGAUACAAAGGAUAUUAGCAUGGCUCCUGCACAAAAAUGACAAGCAAAAUCGUGCAGCGUUCCAAAUUUCU